rnacentral:rRNA from 1 species
GACGAACGCUGGCGGCGUGCUUAACACAUGCAAGUCGAACGGAAAGGCCCUGCUUUUGUGGGGUGCUCGAGUGGCGAACGGGUGAGUAACACGUGAGUAACCUGCCCUUGACUUUGGGAUAACUUCAGGAAACUGGGGCUAAUACCGGAUAGGAGCUCCCGCUGCAUGGUGGGGGUUGGAAAGUUUCGGCGGUUGGGGAUGGACUCGCGGCUUAUCAGCUUGUUGGUGGGGUAGUGGCUUACCAAGGCUUUGACGGGUAGCCGGCCUGAGAGGGUGACCGGCCACAUUGGGACUGAGAUACGGCCCAGACUCCUACGGGAGGCAGCAGUGGGGAAUAUUGCACAAUGGGCGGAAGCCUGGUGCAGCAACGCCGCGUGCGGGAUGACGGCCUUCGGGUUGUAAACCGCUUUCGCCUGUGACGAAGCGUGAGUGACGGUAAUGGGUAAAGAAGCACCGGCUAACUACGUG